CUCAUGACUGAAUUCAUAGGCGGAUGAUUCAGUGUCCGUGAACCUUUUGCAAGGCAGACUGGUAGGGCUAUGUCAUCCGUACAUUCAGUUACUGUGGAUCACUCUUGCAGUCUCAAGAUAUCUAUGAAGAUCUCGUGACUGGCGAUUUGAGUAUGAGGGCGAACCAGAGACCAAGAGAGGAGUUGCACAUGGGCAACCAUGAACAUGAGCAGGAUUAGCGACCAGGGAUGUGGAUUUUUUUAAUUCA